rnacentral:rRNA from 1 species
GACGAACGCUGGCGGCGUGCUUAACACAUGCAAGUCGAACGGAAAGGCCCUGCUUUUGUGGGGUGCUCGAGUGGCGAACGGGUGAGUAACACGUGAGUAACCUGCCCUUGACUUUGGGAUAACUUCAGGAAACUGGGGCUAAUACCGGAUAGGAGCUCCUGCUGCAUGGUGGGGGUUGGAAAGUUUCGGCGGUUGGGGAUGGACUCGCGGCUUAUCAGCUUGUUGGUGGGGUAGUGGCUUACCAAGGCUUUGACGGGUAGCCGGCCUGAGAGGGUGACCGGCCACAUUGGGACUGAGAUACGGCCCAGACUCCUACGGGAGGCAGCAGUGGGGAAUAUUGCACAAUGGGCGGAAGCCUGAUGCAGCAACGCCGCGUGCGGGAUGACGGCCUUCGGGUUGUAAACCGCUUUCGCCUGUGACGAAGCGUGAGUGACGGUAAUGGGUAAAGAAGCACCGGCUAACUACGUGCCAGCAGCCGCGGUGAUACGUAGGGUGCGAGCGUUGUCCGGAUUUAUUGGGCGUAAAGGGCUCGUAGGUGGUUGAUCGCGUCGGAAGUGUAAUCUGGGGGCUUAACCCUGAGCGUGCUUUCGAUACGGGUUGACUUGAGGAAGGUAGGGGAGAAUGGAAUUCCUGGUGGAGCGGUGGAAUGCGCAGAUAUCAGGAGGAACACCAGUGGCGAAGGCGGUCUUCUGGGCCUUUCCUGACGCUGAGGAGCGAAAGCGUGGGGAGCGAACAGGCUUAGAUACCCUGGUAGUCCACGCUGUAAACGGUGGGUACUAGGUGUGGGGUCCAUUCCACGGGUUCCGUGCCGUAGCUAACGCUUUAAGUACCCCGCCUGGGGAGUACGGCCGCAAGGCUAAAACUCAAAGGAAUUGACGGGGCCCCGCACAAGCGGCGGAGCAUGCGGAUUAAUUCGAUGCAACGCGUAGAACCUUACCUGGGUUUGACAUGGAUCGGGAGUGCUCAGAGAUGGGUGUGCCUCUUUUGGGGUCGGUUCACAGGUGGUGCAUGCCUGUCGUCAGCUCGUGUCGUGAGAUGUUGGGUUAAGUCCCGCAACGAGCGCAACCCUUGUUCACUGUUGCCAGCACGUUAUGGUGGGGACUCAGUGGAGACCGCCGGGGUCAACUCGGAGGAAGGUGGGGAUGACGUCAAGUCCUCAUGCCCCUUAUGUCCAGGGCUUCACGCAUGCUACAAUGGCUGGUACAGAGAGUGGCGAGCCUGUGAGGGUGAGCGAAUCUCGGAAAGCCGGUUUCAGUUCGGAUUGGGGUCUGCAACUCGACCUCAUGAAGUCGGAGUCGCUAGUAAUCGCAGAUCAGCAACGCUGCGGUGAAUACGUUCCCGGG